ACUCUCUGGUCAUGUACUGACGCUCGAGAGACCAAAACGUGGGGAGCAGAACAGGAUUAAAUCCCCUGGUAGUCCCCCCCUAAAACAUGUAGUGUUACUUGUGGGGGGUUUCCGCCCUUUUAUGCUGCAUCAAACGUGUUAUUCACUCCCCGGGGAGAAUAGUGUCACAAUACUGACUCUCAGGAGUUUUGAGGGAGGCCCACACACGCUGUAGAACGUGUGUUUAUUUUCUGCACAACGCAAAAAACUAUACACCGUCGUGACGUCUUCUGACAACAAUAGAGAUAGGGCUGCUCCUUCGAGAGCAGAAUGACAGGUGCUGCAUGGUUGUCGUCAGCUCGUGUCGUGAGAUGUUGGGUUAAGUCCCGCAACGAGCGCAACCCUUGUUCUUAGUUGCUACCCAUCAGCUCUCUACUCUAACGUGACGUGACGUGACAAACGAAAGUGAGGGAUGACAUCACGUCCUCUCGUCCCUCAUCGUAUGAGCUGCGCUACUCAUAUACUACUCUGGGACAGAAGGAUCGCGCACCCGAAGCCGCGAGGCUAAUCUCAUAACACCAGAUCUGUUUCCAGAUCGCAUUGCUACUCCUGCGACUGCGCUGGCGUGGGACUGGAUUCUCUUCGGAGGAUCAGAUCGUCAUGCUGGAGUUCGAUUACCGUGGCUCGUGGUCUUGGACGACCCCGUCCCGUCAUGGCGAGUGGGGUUUCGCUAACAACCUGAGAGUUCGCGUGAGCGUUACCGGUGUGGGAGCUCCCCCCCCGAGGGAUGCGAUAACUUGGGU
rnacentral:rRNA from 1 species